CCCGCUCACGAAACUACAAAGGAAGUUAGACGGGGCCCGGCACAAGCGGAGGAACAUGUGGUUUAAUUCGAUGAUACGCGAGGAACCUUACCCGGGCUUGAAUUGCAGAGGAACAUAGUUGAAAGAUUAUCGCCGCAAGGUCUCUGUGAAGGUGCUGCAUGGUUGUCGUCAGCUCGUGCCGUGAGGUGUCGGCUUAAGUGCCAUAACGAGCGCAACCCUUAUCAUUAGUUACUAACAGGUCAUGCUGAGGACUCUAGUGAGACUGCCGUCGUAAGAUGUGAGGAAGGUGGGGAUGACGUCAAAUCAGCACGGCCCUUACGUCCGGGGCUACACACGUGUUACAAUGGGGGGUACAGAGGGCAGCUACCGGGCGACCGGAUGCCAAUCCCAAAAACCUCUCUCAGUUCGGAUCGAAGUCUGCAACCCGACUUCGUGAAGCUGGAUUCGCUAGUAAUCGCGCAUCAGCCACGGCGCGGUGAAUACGUUCCCGGGCCUU
rnacentral:rRNA from 1 species